rnacentral:lncRNA from 1 species
AUGUUUCAAAUUUAGCCGUUGUUGGUGCAUUUAUGACUAAACCGGAAGCUGGGUCUCCUGUCACCAAGAUCCCUUCAUAGAAAGGAAAAUGGAGUUUUUGAUUGAAAGCAUGGAUGAUCUCUCAAUGGAACAUUAAAAGGUUGGUUUCUUCUUAGCUGGUGGUUUUGCUUCACAUAUAUGUCAUAUUAGUCAUAAAAUUUGUAAUUUUUUUGUUUCAGUUCUAUUUUUUCUGUCACGUCAACAAGCCCAGCAGCAAACAUGGCUUCAAAAGUGAAGGGCUGAAAUAAUGGCCCAUGUUAAGCAUAGAAGUUGGGGGGUAUUGGUACUGGAGAUAUUAGAAGUGCUAAUUUACGUUGGUAGCAAAAUGGAUGUGGAAAUUUAAAGACAGGCCUAUGACUUUAUGGGUUAAGGUGGUGGUUCCGAUCAAUGGUAGUUCAAGAGUGGUUGGGCAAUUCCCCCUGAAAAAAACGGUAUUUGUGAGAUGUGGAAAGACAUUUGCUCUGUUGAGAAAGAGUUUUAUGCUUUAAGCCUUCCAAUUGGCGACGGGGGUAAAACUAUGUUUUGGAUGGAUAACUGGG